rnacentral:rRNA from 1 species
UACGUAGGGUGCAAGCGUGUCCGGAAUUAUUGGGCGUAAAGAGCUCGUAGGCGGUCUGUCGCGUCUGCUGUGAAAACUCAGGGCUUAACCCUGAGCUUGCAGUGGGUACGGGCAGACUAGAGUGCGGUAGGGGAGACUGGAAUUCCUGGUGUAGCGGUGAAAUGCGCAGAUAUCAGGAGGGAACACCGGGUGGCCGAAGGCGGGUCUCUGGGCCGUAACUGAC